rnacentral:rRNA from 1 species
GAUGAACGCUGGCGGCGUGCCUAAUACAUGCAAGUCGAGCGAACGGACGAGAAGCUUGCUUCUCUGAUGUUAGCGGCGGACGGGUGAGUAACACGUGGAUAACCUACCUAUAAGACUGGGAUAACUUCGGGAAACCGGAGCUAAUACCGGAUAAUAUUUUGAACCGCAUGGUUCAAAAGUGAAAGGCGGUCUUGCUGUCACUUAUAGAUGGAUCCGCGCUGCAUUAGCUAGUUGGUAAGGUAACGGCUUACCAAGGCAACGAUGCAUAGCCGACCUGAGAGGGUGAUCGGCCACACUGGAACUGAGACACGGUCCAGACUCCUACGGGAGGCAGCAGUAGGGAAUCUUCCGCAAUGGGCGAAAGCCUGACGGAGCAACGCCGCGUGAGCGAUGAAGGUCUUCGGAUCGUAAAACUCUGUUAUUAGGGAAGAACAUAUGUGUAAGUAACUGUGCACAUCUUGACGGUACCUAAUCAGAAAGCCACGGCUAACUACGUG